rnacentral:rRNA from 1 species
AAGCCUCGCCUGUUUACCAAAAACACCGCCUCCUGCCCUUCCCGUAUAGGAGGUCCCGCCUGCCCUGUGACCACAAGUUCAACGGCCGCGGUAUUUUGACCGUGCAAAGGUAGCGUAAUCACUUGUCUUUUAAAUGAGGACCCGUAUGAAUGGCAAAACGAGGGCUUAACUGUCUCCCCCUUUUAAUCAGUGAAAUUGAUCUCCCCGUGCAGAAGCGGGGAUAACCACAUAAGACGAGAAGACCCUGUGGAGCUUUAAACACGAGGGAGGAGCAUAGAAACCCUGCCCCCUCUCCGGGACAAAAUUAUUUGUUACCCUCCCCUCUGUUUUUGGUUGGGGCGACCGCGGAGAAAUAACCACCCCCCGCGAGGACAAGAAGUACUAACUUCUAUAGACUAGAGCUGCCGCUCUAGCACCCAGAAAUUCUGACCAUCAGAUCCGGCACUGCCGAUCAACGGACCGAGUUACCCCAGGGAUAACAGCGCAAUCCCCUUCCAGAGCCCAUAUCGACAAGGGGGUUUACGACCUCGAUGUUGGAUCAGGACAUCCUAAUGGUGCAGCCGCUAUUAAGGGUUCGUUUGUUCAACGAUUAAAGUCCUACGUGAUCUGAGUUCAG